UGGGGAAUAUUGCACAAUGGGGGAAACCCUGAUGCAGCGACGCCGCGUGAGCGAAGAAGUAUUUCGGUAUGUAAAGCUCUAUCAGCAGGGAAGAUAAUGACGGUACCUGACUAAGAAGCUCCGGCUAAAUACGUGCCAGCAGCCGCGGUAAUACGUAUGGAGCAAGCGUUAUCCGGAUUUACUGGGUGUAAAGGGAGCGUAGACGGCAGGGCAAGUCUGAUGUGAAAACCCGGGGCUCAACCCCGGGACUGCAUUGGAAACUGUCCGGCUGGAGUGCAGGAGAGGUAAGUGGAAUUCCUAGUGUAGCGGUGAAAUGCGUAGAUAUUAGGAGGAACACCAGUGGCGAAGGCGGCUUACUGGACUGUAACUGACGUUGAGGCUCGAAAGCGUGGGGAGCAAACA
rnacentral:rRNA from 1 species